CUAAUGUCUUUUUAUUCGGAUUUCUCAAGCUAUAUGCAUGAGGGCCAUACACCAAUGCCACAUGCUUGGUUCCCACCAUUCUUACCUCGUCCUAGUGCCAACCCAACUCCAUGGACUUGUCAGUCAUCAACCUCCUCUCCGAUUGGUUUAAACACUGCAAGCUCAAGCCAAGUGGAAGAAAUUCAAGAGCCAACACCUGACUCGAGGGAGGUUGAAACUUUGUCUACGCCCUCUGAAUCCAAAGAUGACAAUGAGACCGGGA